CGUCAAAGCUUAAUUUUACUUUAUUAAUAAUCCCAUAACCUAUUAGAACCCCUAACAGUACUAAAUAAUUCUAUAAACUUAUAGAACAUAUUAUGCUAAAACUAGUAACAAGAAGAAACCUUCUCUUCUAUGUAAGUGUAAAUCAGAACAGAAAACCUACUGAUCAUUAACAGCUAUAAACCACAGUAUUAACUUACUUAGAAAAUUCUACUUUUUAAACUGUUAACCUCACACAAGAGCAUAUAAAGAAAGAUUAUAAGAAAAAGAAGGAACUCGGCAAAUUCUGAUUCCGCCUGUUUACCAAAAACACCGCCUCCUGCUAACCUAUAGGAGGUCCAGCCUGCCCAGUGACCUAGUUUAACGGCCGCGGUAUCCUAACCGUGCGAAGGUAGCGUAAUCACCUGUUUUUUAAUUGAAGACCUGUAUGAAAGGCAUCACGAGAAUCGCACUGUCUCCUUUUUCUAAUCAGUGAAACUAAUCUCCCCGUGAAAAAGCGGGGAUGUAUAUACAAGACGAGAAGACCCUUUGGAGCUUUAGACAAAAUAGUAUUAUGCACCGCAUUUUAAACCUAUUCACUUAAGCAUUUAUAUUACAAGUCUUCGGUUGGGGCAACCGCGGAGUAAAAAUUACCCUCCAAGUUGAACGGAGCUUUCCUAAACUAAAAGACACAACUUUAUGUAUCAACAAAUUGACAUCUAUGACCCAAUAUUUUGAUUAUCGAACCAAGUUACCCUAGGGAUAACAGCGCAAUCCACUUCGAGAGUUCAUAUCGACAAGUGGGCUUACGACCUCG
rnacentral:rRNA from 1 species